rnacentral:rRNA from 1 species
AGUGAACGCUGGCGGUAGGCCUAACACAUGCAAGUCGAACGGCAGCAGAGUAAGAGCUUGCUCUUACGGGUGGCGAGUGGCGGACGGGUGAGGAAUACAUCGGAAUCUACUUUUUCGUGGGGGAUAACGUAGGGAAACUUACGCUAAUACCGCAUACGACCUACGGGUGAAAGCAGGGGAUCUUCGGACCUUGCGCGAUUGAAUGAGCCGAUGUCGGAUUAGCUAGUUGGCGGGGUAAAGGCCCACCAAGGCGACGAUCCGUAGCUGGUCUGAGAGGAUGAUCAGCCACACUGGAACUGAGACACGGUCCAGACUCCUACGGGAGGCAGCAGUGGGGAAUAUUGGACAAAGGGCGCAAGCCUGAUCCAGCCAUACCGCGUGGGUGAAGAAGGCCUUCGGGUUGUAAAGCCCUUUUGUUGGGAAAGAAAAGCAGCAGGUUAAUACCCCGCUGUUCUGACGGUACCCAAAGAAUAAGCACCGGCUAACUUCGUG